rnacentral:rRNA from 1 species
GCAGCGGCAAUAUUCGAGGAUUGUUUUCAUUAUGCAUGUGAUUUCGUUACCAGUAGGUUUGAGCACUGUAAUAGGGAAGCAAAUAAAGUAGCUCACGAGCUUGCUAGGUUAGCUAGAUUUUCCUUGACCUCUAAUUGGUUUAAGGAGCCUUUAAAUGAAAUUGUAAUGAUCCUCACAAAUGAUAUACAACUUGUCACAAAUGAACAAAGUGGGGUUUUUUCAAAAAAAACAAUGAUGGGUGCAAGUUUCAUAUGUUUAUGGUUUUUUUGA